ensembl:lncRNA
GUGGGAGAGUUGCGAGCAGGCUGAUGUAUUCUGGCAGUCCUGAAUAAAUAAGUUCCGUGAUACCCGCCAUCGUUUUCGGUGCUUAUUACAACCCACCGAUAUAUCACAUUGGCGAUGGGGAUGACCGGUCUGCAGUGAGGGGAUUCGGCGCGAUGGAAAUGUGAAGGAAGCGCAGGGAUUUUCCCGAACGGCAAGACCGAGGAAAUGGCGCUAAUCGGACGAGUGGACGAGUUUAAGUAGUCACGGGAGGACUUUGCAUCCUACCUGGAGAGAUUUGAAAUCUGGCUACAAGCAAACAAUAUUACGGAGGAAAAGAAGCGUCAGCGUCACCAUUGCACAUCUCUUCAGUGGCAAACAGUUGGAUUCAGCUUUGUAAUCCAAGAUACACAGCAUUUCUUCUUGAGGUUCUGCUGAAGUGGAUCCCACCAGAGACCAGCGACAGUAUUAAGGAUGAGAUGUCAUCUUCACAACAGUAUUCAUUUUACCUGACAGAUCAAUGUUGCAGCAGUGAGCAGGACCUGGAGAGAAAAGGGAGACUCUGCAGCAGACGCUCAGGGGCAAGGCCGAGGAGAGGAGAGGAGCGGAGUGGACGAGGACAACUACGCGAAACCUGCUCACUGCGAGAAAAUAAAUAAAACUUAUUCCUCAGAAGAAUCAUGUCUCCGUGCGUCCUUACACGAACCUUAAAAGGUGACAACCCUGAUGACGGAGAGGGACCGAUGCAGCCGGCGAUCACACUCGGUCGGAUGCUGGGGGAGAUUGCGGCGAUGCAGAGCGAGCAGGCCGAGUCCAACCGGCUUUUCCUGGGGGCGCUGCAGGCACAGGCGGACCGGCAAACCCAUGUGAUGGAGCUGUUGGCGGCCCGGCCAGUUGCGGCCCCGCUGGCGCCGGGUUCCCCGCCGUAUGACGCUGCAUAAGAUGACCCUGGGGGAUGAGGUGCAGUCGUUCCUGGAGAUGUUUGAGGCAAUGGCGGGGUUUCGAGGGGCGAGGCUGGGGCCGGGGGACCGCCCAUUCGCGUUCGCACAGAGGCUCAGAGACGCGGCCAACAGGUGGCUGUAGCCGGAGGGCACGGGAGGAGCGCCGGCGGUGGUGGUGGAACAGCUACUGGAGGGUCUGCCGCUGCGGACCGCGGCCUGGGUCCGUUACCACCGGCCGGCGACGCUGGAGGCCGCCGUCACCCUUGCGGAGGACCACCUGGCGGGUCACCCCGGCGGGCCGGGAGAGGGCGGUCGGCCGGCCACAUCACCACAGCCCGUCCCCACGCCACAAAGGAGGGCCCCGCAGCCGGUCGCAGCUCGGGCCCUGCCGACCCCGCGAGAUCCAGCCUUUCAAUGGAGUACUGAUCCACCCGGCCUGACCGGCACUCUCCCCAACUUACAGAGGGCUCCUCAACCGCCAGGGCAGGAGUGUUGGAGGUGCGGGCAACCCGGACACUACCGGCGGGAGUAGUUUCCGAAGCGUCAACCAAUGCAGGGUACACAAAAGUUUAAAGAAAGAAUGUGCAUUGCCUAAAUUGGUACUCACCUGCUGUGUGUGCCCUUCUUUACAAUUGCCUUUCAGUGCAGUAUCUAAAGAACCAAAGCCAAGGAGUGGUGAGUAGCUAAUUAGGAAAACCUAAAACAGUUUGAUUUCCCCAAACCGGUGCGAGGUAUGCGAAGGCAGUACCAGUCGAUUGCGUGCCAUCGCUGAAAAAAAUGACAUUACGUCACACAUGCGCGGCCUACCAAAACUAAUGUAAUGCUAAUUGCUAGGUUUGACCCAAUCCAAGUCUGUUUUGCCUUCUCUUCUGAAGCAGAAGAAACUUGAAUCCUUAAACUCCACUUUUGUGGUGUCAAAACACCACAUGGUUAUUGUUCACUUCAUUAGGGUGUCAAGCGAUUGCUGUUUUGCAUUUUGAGGAGUUUCUGCGGAGGCCAAUCGACCUUUUGUCUCCUAAACGACGGGGGAGUGGUCAGCGCAGCCGUAGCCGACUUCGACUAACGAGGGAGUAUUUAACUAGAGGUCGAGUGAAGGAUUAGCUUCAGCGUUUGCAUAACGGGGAAAGACGAAGACGAGCAGGACAAAGCCUAGAGAGUCUUUCGUGGGAGUCAAGACGAGCAAUUCCCCCCCCCCCCUGAACGGACGAAUUCCAGACGGCUCAAACUGGCAGAGAGCGGA